GAAAUGCGAUACGUAAUGUGAAUUGCAGAAUUCCGUGAAUCAUCGAAUCUUUGAACGCACAUUGCACUCUGUUUCGGCAGAGUAUGCCUGUUUGAGAAUCUAUAGUAUUCAUUUUCCAACUUUGGGUAUUUAUAUCUAAGGAAGGAGAGAUUUGAGGCGUCGCACUAACCCUGCGUGCUUUUAAAACUAUAGCUGCUGGAUACUGUCAAGUAACGGAAAAGUAUGUGUAUGGGACUUCGGUUUCUCUAAUACCCAGUACGUGUGAUGGAAUUUGUCUGGCACUCACCUAUUAAAGUUAGCCUUCGGGUUAACUUGAACCAUGGUCUCAAAUCAGGCAGGAAGACCCGCUGAACUUAA
rnacentral:misc_RNA from 1 species